rnacentral:rRNA from 1 species
AGGACGAACGCUGGCGGCGUGCUUAACACAUGCAAGUCGAACGGUGAAAGGGUCUUCGGACCCUGGAUCAGUGGCGAACGGGUGAGUAACACGUGGGCAACCUGCCCCUAGCUCCGGAAUAACCCCGGGAAACCGAGGCUAAUACCGGAUACGACCCUGCGCGGCAUCUCGCGGGGUGGAAAGUUUUUCGGCUAGGGAUGGGCCCGCGGCCUAUCAGCUUGUUGGUGGGGUAAUGGCCUACCAAGGCGACAACGGGUAGCCGGCCUGAGAGGGUGACCGGCCACACUGGGACUGAGACACGGCCCAGACUCCUACGGGAGGCAGCAGUGGGGAAUCUGCACAAUGGGCGAAAGCCUGAUGCAGCAACGCCGCGUGCGGGAAGAAGGCCCUAGGGUUGUAAACCGCUUUCAGUAGGAAGAAAAUGACGGUACCUACAGAAGAAGGUGCGGCCAACUACGUGCCAGCAGCCGC